rnacentral:rRNA from 1 species
AUUGAACGCUGGCGACAGGCUUAACACAUGCAAGUCGAGCGGAGCGGCGAACGAGUGAGUAAUGCUUAGGAAUCUGCCUAUUAGUGGGGUACAACAUCUCGAAAGGGAUGCUAAUACAGCAUACUAAAAGAUGAGCCUAAGUCGGAUUAGCUAGUUGGGGGGGUAAAGGCCUACCAUGGCGACGAUCCGUAACUGGUCUGAGAGGAUGAUCAGUCCCCGUGGACAUGAGACACGGUCCAGACUCCUACGGCAGUCAGCAGUGGUGAAUAUUGGCCAAUGUUCGAUAGCCUGAUCCAGCCAUGCCGCGGUUGUGAAGACUGCCUUCGGGUUGUACAGCCCUUUCAGCUGGGUGGCGUUACCCUCAGAAGAUGCACCGGCUAACUCCGUGCCAGCAGCCGCGGUAAUAC